rnacentral:rRNA from 1 species
AGCAGCCGCGGUAAUUCCAGCUCCAAUAGCGUAUAUUAAAGUUGCUGCAGUUAAAAAGCUCGUAGUUGAAUUUCGGGACUAAUAUGUCGGUCGUGCCUCGGUACGUACUGGUAUUUUUGGUUUCUCCCUUCUGACGAACCUUGAUGUCAUUAAUUUGGUGUCUUGGGGAAUCAGGACUGUUACUUUGAAAAAAUUAGAGUGUUUAAAGCAGGCUCACGCUUGAAUACAUUAGCAUGGAAUAAUGAAAUAGGACGUUUGAUUCUAUUUUGUUGGUUUCUAGGAUUGACGUAAUGAUUAAUAGGGAUAGUUGGGGGCAUUAGUAUUCAAUUGUCAGAGGUGAAAUUCUUGGAUUUAUUGAAGACUAACUACUGCGAAAGCAUUUGCCAAGGAUGUUUUCAUUAAUCAAGAACGAAAGUUAGGGGAUCGAAGACGAUCAGAUACCGUCGUAGUCUUAACCAUAAACUAUGCCGACUAGGGAUCGGAUGAUGUUAAUUUAAUGACUCA